CGGCGUGCCUAAUACAUGCAAGUCGAGCGAACGUUUGAGAGCUUGCUCUCAAACGUUAGCGGCGGACGGGUGAGUAACACGUGGGUAACCUGCCUGUAAGAUUGGGAUAACUCCGGGAAACCGGAGCUAAUACCGAAUAACAUUUUGAACCGCAUGGUUUAAAAUUGAAAGAUGGUUUCGGCUAUCACUUACAGAUGGACCCGCGGCGCAUUAGCUAGUUGGUGAGGUAAUGGCUCACCAAGGCGACGAUGCGUAGCCGACCUGAGAGGGUGAUCGGCCACACUGGGACUGAAACACGGCCCAGACUCCUACGGGAGGCAGCAGUAGGGAAUCUUCCGCAAUGGACGAAAGUCUGACGGAGCAACGCCGCGUGAACGAUGAAGGCUUUCGGGUCGUAAAGUUCUGUUGUUAGGGAAGAACAAGUACCAGAGUAACUGCUGGUACCUUGACGGUACCUAACCAGAAAGCCACGGCUAACUACGUGCCAGCAGCCGCGGUAAUACGUAGGUGGCAAGCGUUGUCCGGAAUUAUUGGGCGUAAAGCGCGCGCAGGCGGUUUCUUAAGUCUGAUGUGAAAGCCCACGGCUCAACCGUGGAGGGUCAUUGGAAACUGGGGAACUUGAGUGCAGAAGAGGAAAGUGGAAUUCCACGUGUAGCGGUGAAAUGCGUAGAGAUGUGGAGGAACACCAGU
rnacentral:rRNA from 2 species